UUUACGUCUACUAAAAACACUAAAAAAAUUAAAAUUUUUUUAAUUUAUCGUCAAUUUAAAGAAAAUAAUUAAACGAUUAAAUACAAUAAUUUAUACCUUACGAUAAUCUAUGAUUUAAUACGAUACAAAUUUUUAAAACUGAAGAAGAUAGUCAACUCGAGAUAUUAGUGUACCAUUCGAUCUUUUUAUUAGCCAGCUGUAAUGUUAGAGUAUAAUAUUUACUGAACAUGGUUUAUACUCGGUAACUUUCAAUUAUUAUAGCGAAGUAAACUGAAUCAUGCAAAUCUAAAAUUCUUGAGUUAACAAAAAUGGGUUUUCAAGCACAAGAUUAAAUGGAGAGAAAAGCUUUAUUUCUCUUAUUGUCUUCUUUUGUUAAUACAUUAAUAAAAAGUUGAAGGAUAAAAUAUAUAUGUUUCACCAA